GAUGAACGCUGGCGGCGUGCCUAAUACAUGCGAGUCGAGCGAACAGACGAGGAGCUUGCUCCUCUGACGUUAGCGGCGGACGGGUGAGUAACACGUGGAUAACCUACCUAUAAGACUGGGAUAACUUCGGGAAACCGGAGCUAAUACCGGAUAAUAUAUUGAACCGCAUGGUUCAAUAGUGAAAGACGGUUUUGCUGUCACUUAUAGAUGGAUCCGCGCCGCAUUAGCUAGUUGGUAAGGUAACGGCUUACCAAGGCAACGAUGCGUAGCCGACCUGAGAGGGUGAUCGGCCACACUGGAACUGAGACACGGUCCAGACUCCUACGGGAGGCAGCAGUAGGGAAUCUUCCGCAAUGGGCGAAAGCCUGACGGAGCAACGCCGCGUGAGUGAUGAAGGUCUUCGGAUCGUAAAACUCUGUUAUUAGGGAAGAACAAAUGUGUAAGUAACUAUGCACGUCUUGACGGUACCUAAUCAGAAAGACACGGCUAACUACGUG
rnacentral:rRNA from 1 species